GACGAACGCUGGCGGCGUGCUUAACACAUGCAAGUCGAACGGAAGGGGCCUGCUUGUGUGUGGUGCUCGAGGGGGGAACGGGUGAGUAACACAUGAGUAAGCUGCCCUGGACUUUGGGAUAACUUCAGGAAACUGGGGCUACUACCUGAUAGGAGCUGCUGCUGCAUGGGGGGGGUUGGACAGUUUCGGAGGGUGGGGGUGGAGUCGGGGCUUAUCAGCUUGUUGGUUGGGGAGUGGCUUACCAAGGCUUUGGCGGAUAGCCGGCCUGAGAGGUUGACCGGCGACAAUGGGACUACGGGAGGGCGCAGUGGGCAACGGGAGACAGUAGUGGGGAAUAUGGUACAAUGGGCGGAAGUGUGAGGAAGCAACGCUGCGUGCGUGAUGACGGCUUUGGGGUGGUAAACCGCAUUAGCCUGUGACGUAGCGGGAGUGACGGUAACGGGUAAAGAAGCACCGGCUAACUACGUG
rnacentral:rRNA from 1 species